CCUACGGGUGGCUGCAGUGGGGAAUAUUGGACAAUGUGCGAAAGCCUGAUCCAGCCAUGCCGCGUGUGUGAAGAAGGCCUUCGGGUUGUAAAGCACUUUCAGUGGGGAAGAAAGCCUUGGGGCUAAUACCCUCGAGGAAGGACAUCACCCACAGAAGAAGCACCGGCUAACUCCGUGCCAGCAGCCGCGGUAAUACGGAGGGUGCGAGCGUUAAUCGGAAUUACUGGGCGUAAAGCGCGCGUAGGCGGUCUGAUAAGCCGGUUGUGAAAGCCCCGGGCUCAACCUGGGAACGGCAUCCGGAACUGUCAGGCUAGAGUGCAGGAGAGGAAGGUAGAAUUCCCGGUGUAGCGGUGAAAUGCGUAGAGAUCGGGAGGAAUACCAGUGGCGAAGGCGGCCUUCUGGACUGACACUGACGCUGAGGUGCGAAAGCGUGGGUAGCAAACAGGAUUAGAUACCUGGUAGUC
rnacentral:rRNA from 1 species